AGAAGUAGAAAACAGACAUUUGAAAUCCAAAGUUGAUUCCAUAGAGAAAGAGAUAGACAUACUAAAAUCUGCCGCAUCAGUAACAUCGUUUGACCACCCAGGGAAUGAUACCAAAGUGGACAAGGACUUCCGAAGGGUUGCUCCAUACCAUCCCCCUGCUCCACAAUCGGCAUUCAAAGCCAGGCUGACUCACAAACUUACCAAUGUUGGUUCCGAGCAGAUUAUUCCG
rnacentral:misc_RNA from 1 species